rnacentral:rRNA from 1 species
GUAGGUGGCAAGCGUUGUCCGGAAUUAUUGGGCGUAAAGCGCGCGCAGGUGGUUCUUUAAGUCUGAUGUGAAAGCCCCCGGCUCAACCGGGGAGGGUCAUUGGAAACUGGGGAACUUGAGUGCAGGAGAGGAAAGUGGAAUUCCACGUGUAGCGGUGAAAUGCGUAGAUAUGUGGAGGAACACCAGUGGCGAAGGCGACUUUCUGGCCUGUAACUGACACUGAGGCGCGAAAGCGUGGGGAGCAAACAGGGAUUAGAUACCCUGGUAGUCCACGCCGUAAACCGAUGAGUGCUAAGUGUUGGGGGGGUUUUCCGCCCCCUCAGUGCUGCAGCUAACGCAUUAAGCACUCCGCCUGGGAGUACGGUCGCAAGACUG